AUACCUUGCAUGUGCAUUUCCCUGUGGAUAUAUUUUUUACAUCGACUGUUUUUGGAAUUAGCACAGCAAACAUCUACUUGGAAUCAUGAGUUAUAUUAUCUUUGCCGAAAGGACUUUUGUUUAAACGUUCCCUCCUUUGCAACAGAGUUCGACUAAUGAAUACACCCUGGCCGUACAGUACCGUUUCGGUUUAAUUCAACGUUGUACACUUCUGUCAUACUGAAAGCAACACUUGCUGAACAGGAAUCUAGAUCCUACUAUCUCCAGUGAGUGGACGGCCACAAGAGUUAACAUUUUCCUCAGCAAAUAUUUUUGAUCUAAAACUUUAUUUUCCAUCCAAAACUGAAGCAUGUUUCUUGUGAACCAACCAAAUCACUAGCUGUGUACCACAACCCCAUUGAUGUACAGCCAUUGUAACGUAUGCCUUCAUGACAGUAAGUCAUUAACGGCAGGGUUAUGGUACAAUACCAAUUGACAUGCAUCUUGUUUGUCACCUUAGAGUAGCGAAUAGUAUGGAAGGCUUGUUUGUGGAGCUAGUGAGGCUGAAGGUCCACAGUGUCCCCAGUAUCGGAUGAAGGAGUUCCUGGGGUCCCUGUCCAACAAGAGCUCAGAGGCACUGCAGGAGUUCAACCAGCAGGCAGGUGUUAUCACUACAACCACCACCAUGGUUUACCAGCAGGGGGUCAACUGCAUCUACACAGACAGCAACGAGGUGGCUGGGUCACUGCUGGAACUGUCUGUCUGCAACAGCAGGUACAGGUGUCCCAGCAGAAGGUGAUGUCAUGACAGCAGCAGCUCUCGCCCCAUAUGACCACAGCCGCAAGGCCAAGACAAUACAGCUUUGCGUUACUGGACUGAACAGACCUGGGAUGACCUCAUUGAGCUGGCUGGAGGCACAGUGAAUAAUGCUCAGGCCACAGUGUCCUCCUUAACAACUAUCACCACAGUGGCAGUGAAUGACUUGCAGACCUUUGGCCCCUCUGACCAGGGUUGUGUUCAAUUGGAGCAAAUGGGAGAAAACAAUGGAAAAAUGGAAGACGUGCCACAUGAAUUUGUCAUUUAGGAACACUGACUUUGGUUUUCUGUUUGAAAAUGUUUAUUUCAAGCUAGGCUUACAUUCAUGGUUGACAAAGCACUUUUUACAUUGGUUUGUCAACCAUUGGUCUCAGCCAUUGGCCCAGCUAGGCAGGGUAGUAAUACUGUGCUGUCUACGGGACAGCCCCUUGGAAACACAGACACACUCACUAUCAACACAACCACACACACUAUCAACACUCUACCACACACACAACAGACAGACGAUUAAACUUGGAAUUAGCCUAAAUCUGUCGACCAAUGGCUGAGACUAAUGGUGUUACAUUACAAUAGAUGACGAUCUCGGCCUCACCUGUCAUAAGUGAAUGAUGGUGAUGAAAUAAUCUGGACCCCGUUUACGAGACACUGUGGUAACCUUUACCACUCCGUACUCAGUACUCAUCACACAGCACCUGGAGUAACAUGGUCUAACUAAUAUAAGUAGAGAAACGACUGCAUGCUGUGGUAGCGGAAUCAGAAUUCUUUAGGUAACAUUGAUAAAUAAGAUGUUUUAUCAAUGUUCAUAAGUAUGCUUAUGUGGGAAAGUUACUUGGGCCCCAGAGAGGGGAGAGGUCAGGCUUGUCUUCUUAUGGGAAUGUGUCUGUAACUAUUACUCGUCCCCUCUGAGGUUGCCUUUCUCUUGAUUUAGUAUAUGGCCUAGGAGGCUCACUGUCUCUGUGAGCUUGUCCAGUAGGGGUUGUAUUUUUGUUGGGAGUGUCUAGAAUUGACAAUUGAUAUAUGCCAUUGGAUGAGGUAAAGUUUUGGUUCUAAGUGGUACCAAGAACGAGAUGAAAGAACUUAGUUUAGGAGAACAAACUGAACGAUAAUUUAUAGCCAAUGCUGUCUGGCUAUGUGUGUCUUUGCAAUAAAUAAUCUCAGUUGCCAUUAUGUAAGCACUCUCAGAUAAUUCAUUUAUGGACACUGAAUUGAUCUGAGAGUCACAGGGCUAUGGUGAAGCUCAUAUAAUUAAAGAUGGACUUUAUGAUAACUCUGACUUGUGUGUGGUUUGCUCUCUCAUGAUUUGGUAAUACAGGAAAUUUCCACGACAUUGCACAGCAGGAAAUGUGACACUUCUGACACAUUUUGCUAGAUACACCCAUACUCUGUGCAGCACCCAAAUCAAGUGGCAAGAAUAUGCUUAUGAAGAUUCUUCCUAAAUUCAUGGGCAGCAUUCUGAGCAAUGUGAAACCAGAAGAACUAUGCAUGUAUAUUGGUCGAACUUGAUGCUGUGAAUCUAAUCAACAUAUUACCCAUGAAGAUUUUCUACAUUUUGAUUAUUGUUCAGUGUCCAAUCACCAUCAAAACCCUCACUCACCGUGUCCUUCUGUUUCAGGGGGGUCACCAUGAAGAUGAUCCUAACAUUCUGCUCCCACACCAUCCUCCAGAAGUCAGCCAUGGUGCUGCGCAAAGGUCCCUGGCUACAGAUUAAGUCUGGCUCUGUACAGCCCCCUGAAAAGCAGACCGCUGACUUGAUGAAUGGAUAUAUGGACAGACAGAGUACUUACAGGGACAUAACUAGCGUUGUUAUAGCUUCACUCUACAGUGGUAAUCUAAAAUCACAGGGACUGUUAUUAAUCAACGUGGUCAGAAAGUGGGAAGCAUUACCGAACAUGGGAGAGAUGUGAAGGAUGUGUUCAUGUACUUAGAUACAGCAGGUUAUAUAGUCAUGGUAAUUACACUCCUAUUACUCAGGGGCAGCAUGUGGUGGUGCUAUGAUAUGGUGUGUGCUAUGAUACUCUCAAGGCAGUAUGUAGGGGUAUCUGUUCUCUCUGUUAGCCUUCCAGGUCUCCAGCCCUGGUAGUGAGUUCUUUACCAUCAUCCAGCUCCUGAAGAAUAAACAGCUAAUGGGACACUGAAACAGCCACAGCAGACACUGCACAAAGACUCCAAAGCACAAUCAUCUACUGUAUGGCCUAGAUUAGUGAGUUUGGUUUACCUCAAACCGCCCUUGGCAGCGAGUGAUUGAAAGCACAGGUGGAAUUCCUGUAGUAUAUGUGCCCGUGAAAGCACCCUUAUUCGAUGUGGAAAUAUGGCAACAGUCUUCAACCGAUUAAAACAUGUUUUUUAAACAACUCUUUAAAUUGAGCUCCAAUUUUCCUCAAAGUGGUGUUUUUACAAGUGACUACACCUAUAAUGUUCUUAAUUCCAUCAUUCCAUGCUGGGUUGAUUUGAGAAAACAACAAUAGGCUAAAACACUUCACUAACCACACUCAGUUACUGUAUAUCAACUAAUGAAAGGUUACUUUUCUCUUCCAUAUUUUAGCAGAUGCUCUUAUCCAGAGCAAUUACGGUUAAGUGCCUUGCACAUCAACAUAUUUUUCACCUAGUUGGCCUCAGGGAUUCGAACCUUUCGGUUACUGGCCCAACGCUCUUAACCGCUCCGCUACCUGCCACCCAUACCAUUUCACAAAGACUCAAGUUAUUAUAUCCACUCCUUCAGUGACUUUCAGAGUUCCUCACCUCAUGUUUGUUAGGGGUGCAGAGAUUAGGCAAAGCUUCCUUUGGUAACCAAGAACGGAAGUAUAGUGUAGAGGGAGCCAGGCUGGUAAGGUGGUGUUGGGUAGUUUUAAAAGAAAUGUGAUCAGAUGAUCACAAAGCCAAAUCCCCCACCCACCCCUGUUAGCUAAAGAGGAAUUUGGACACACAGUGGCUCUCACACACACAAGGAUUUGAACACCAACCUGAGAACACUAUAAAAACCUGCAUCAACAGGUCUACAACUCAAAACACAGGUAAAUUACAGAGUGAGCAACCCCAGCCUAGUGUUCCUUAUUAGUUAGUAUCACCUUUGUAACUGCUCCUUUGAGUGAGAAAGAGUUUAGAGAGCAACGGGGGCUCUUCCCAUCGAUGUGUUAUGUCCUGUCAAGUUGUCAGCCUCCAAUUAUCCAAGCCACCACAUUUUAUUCUCUCAAUUCAAAGGAAUUUAUUGGCAUAGGAAACAUAUGUUUACAUUGCCAACGCAAGUGAAUAGAUAAUAAGCAAAAGUGAAAUAAACAAUUAAAAAUUAACUGUAAACAUUACACUCACAAAGGUUUCAGAGAAAUAGAGACAUUUCAAAUGUCAUUGUGGCUAUGUACAGUGUUAUAACGAUAGUUAAAGUACAAAAGAGAAAAUAAAUAAACAUAAAGAUGGG